rnacentral:lncRNA from 1 species
ACUGUGUGCCUGGUAUGAUUGUUGCUUUAAAAAUACUAUAAGCCCACUACACUUAUUAUGAGAGUGGGAUAGUGUAAAUGUGUUGCAUUGUUUGCAUGAUGAGCUCAGUAUAUUUUAUAACUGAGACAAAAAGUCACUUCAUUAGUAUUUGGAAGUUAAUUCCCCAUAUGGGAUUAAUUGUAUAGAAACACCAAUCAGCACAUCUUCCCUGCCCUGUGUGUUUGUUGCAAAAGAUCCAUACUGUAAAUAUGAUUUUUGUUUGAAAAUAACAGAGCAACAUUUACAUUUUCAGCGGUCCAACACAUGCUUUAUUUUGCACUGUAAACUAACCUUUUUAUUGCAACAGGUUCCUUUUAAAUGAUCCAGUGUAAUAACUACUGCUUGUGUCUUCUAUGUCUCACAUUAUGUGUUAUUUUAAAUUGUGGUAUAUAGCCUGAAUCAGACAUCAUGGACAAAGGUUUUUACCUGUAUUACAAAGGGCUCUUGGAGACUGACCGGUC